AAAAAACGAUAGUUACAGAGUAGCUUAAAUAUUUAAGGAUAUAAAUUAAAAAUUUAAAUUGUUUAAAUUCGCAAGUCCUUCUGCUAAAAGUCAAUAGUUCACAAUGGCUGAUGUCCUCAUGCAGAAAGGGCAGCACAAAACGUAUCGCGCAACAACAGCAACUGAGUGUCAGCUACAAAAAGCAAAAGUAAAGCUCACACUCUUUGACUCACACACACACACACACACACAUACAUGAGCGUAGAUAAAAUGAGCGCAGCAUGAACAGCAAAAGAGAUUUUUAGAGCAAAAAGCACAGUCAAAGUGUCAACACUAAUACAAAUGUAAAGCGCACACGCACAUGGCUAGAAAUAUAAAUACAGAUACAGAUAAUGAGCAUAAGAAUGGCAACAAAAAAAUCGGCAGUGGGUAAGAUACAUGGAGAAUGCAUGAAUGAAAGAACAACGACAAUGACAGUGAGAGACAGGAGAAACAAGUUGAACAGAGAAAACUUAACUAAGACUGAAGGCCACAACAACAACAGCACACCACAACGUGAUGUGCGAUGGCAAUAUCGGUGUGUGGGGCAGUAGGACAAACACGAGGUGGUGUGGAAGUGUAGAAGAAUAACAGGAACAGGAAGAAACCAAAAACUUGACGAAACUUACGAGAGAGAGAGAGAGAGCACAAAAGCAAACACGAACAAAAAAAAUAAGAAGACAGGCAAGUUCUGCCGCCGCUGCGUCGCGACGCUGUCGACGUCGCAGUAGCGUCGGCAAACACACAGCAAACUUUCCACGCGGUCUGCGUCCAACAGCGACGGCAUUGAGCAGCGACACCUUUAACCGAUCGCAGCGCAGCGCAGUUCCUGUUCUCGCGUUCCCGAGUGUGUGUCCAUCGUUCGUCGUUAGUCGUUCAUGGCGCAGAUUGUGUGAAGUCGCAGUACAAAAUGCGGAAAAAGCGCUAGUUAAAAUCGGGAUAUACAUAUUUAGAUACAUACAUGCGGUGGCAGCGUCAGCAUGGAAAUUUAAUUAGCGACAGUCGAGUGAGCCAACAACAAUAACAACAGCAUCGGCAUCGGCAAUAAGAACGGCAGCAAACACAACGCCUACAUAACUGAACACAAAAAGGCCUGCGAGAAAUAAAAGUAAACACAAAACAAAAAAAAUAAAAAAGAAAGAAAGAAAAUAAAUCAUGCGAGUCAAAGAGGAAGAGAUACGAAAUUUGCCCACAUUCUGUUGCCUUCCUUUUCACAUGACGACAGCAAAAAAUAAAUAAAGGCAGCUACAAAUAUAAAAGCGAUAGAGCCGACAAAUUGUAAACAACAACAACAAUGAAAGUGCACCAUACUCAACCCAACCAACCGCCCACCGAACCCUCCUACAUCUGUCGUUGCAUCACAUGAACCUCACUGUACGUGUACGUGUGUAUGCGUGUGCGAGCGAGUGGCCAAACAAAAAUGGCGCAUGACAUGCGCACUGAGUGAACAACUUGAACUUGAAAAUUGUUAUUGUUGAGCUAGUCGGCUGUUCCAUUUAACUUGACGCUGGCAGCGACGCGACUUCGACAGUUAACGAGCCGGCAAACCAAAGAGCGCAGCGUUAAAAGAGAGCGCCAGACAGAGAGACGACGCGUCGUGAGCGAGAGUGCUGCUAUGCUCAAGCAGCAGGUAUGUAUGUACGUAUGUGUAUGUAAGAGGUAAAUAAGCUACUAUUAUGCAAAUAGAGAGAGGGAGAGCAAGCUGUAAAGCUUUAGCACAGCUUUUGCGUGGGUGACUUAAAGCAGCGAUGCUACGUCAGCGUCGCCGUCGACGUCUGACAACUGUUAGCUUUUGUUGUACUUGCUGCCAGCUGCCCAAAAAACUUUCUCUUUUAUGGCGCCCCCGCCUGCUGCCACCACGUGUUUGCUUGUCUUGUAUAUAUGUUUGUAUGUGAGUAAAUAUGCUGUUGCUAUUGCAUAUUUACUGGGAUACGAUGACGCGCACCUGUGCGCACACAGCUGCAGCAGAGGAUGCUGCUGAUACGCUAGCUGUGUGUGCUCUUAGCUACAAACGUACAUGCAUACACACACAUGCAUACAUGCAUGAAAGUUGGUUUCCUUGUUGCCUGCUUUGCGAAAAGUUGUUCAGUGUUGAGCGCACUCCCGGCGAGGUCAGACCAGUGUUGCCACAUUAAUUAAAUAUGCGUCUCUCUCUCUGUGUGUGUGUGUGUCUGUGUGUAUGUCUGUGUGUAAAGCUACCAUAUGAGUGCUUUAAUUGUGUGAUAAAACUAAAAAAA